rnacentral:rRNA from 1 species
UACGGAGGGUGCAAACGUUGCUCGGAAUCAUUGGGCGUAAAGCGCACGUAGGCGGCGUGAUAAGUUGGGUGUGAAAGCCCUGGGCUCAACCCAGGAAGUGCAUUCAAAACUGUCUCGCUUGAAUCUCGGAGGGGGUCAGAGAAUUCCCGGUGUAGUGGUGAAAUGCGUAGAUAUCGGGAGGAACACCAGUGGCGCAAGCGGCUAACUGGCCGAGACCUGACGCUGAGACGCGACGGCGUGGGGAGCAAACCGG